AAUGGCAUAUUUCGUCAGACACGGAAGUUGUAAUUCCACUGUUUGGUCACUAUGUUAAAUUGACUUCAAAGCCUGGGGCACUUCCUGGGGGCCUAGU